UUUUUUUUUUUUUUUUUUUUUUUUUUGGUUGGGAGACUUUUAAUAACUGCUUCUAUUUCUCUAGGGAUUACGGGACUGUUUAGGUGGUUUAUCUGAUCCUGGGUUAACUUAGAUAUUUGGUAUUUGUCUAGAAAAUUGUCCAUUUCAUCCAGAUUUUUCCAAUUUUUUUAAUAUAGGCUUUUAUAGUAGGAUCUGAAGUUUUUUGGAUUUCCUAUGUUUCUGUUGUUAUGUCUCCCUUUUCAUUUCUGAUUUGGUUAAUUUGGAUACUGUUUCUGUGCCCUCUGGUUAGUCUGGCUAAGGGUUUAUCUAUCUUGUUGAUUUUCUCAAAGAACCAGCUCCUGGUUUUGUUGAUUUUUUUGUAUACUUCUUUUUGUUUCUACUUGAUUGAUUUCAGCCCUGAGUUAGAUAAUUUCCUGCCAUCUGUUCCUCUUGAGUGUAUUUUCUUCUUUUUGUUCUUGAGCUUUCAGAUAUGCUGUCAAGCUGCUGGUGUAUGCUCGCUCCAGUUUCUUUUUGGAGGCACUCAGAACUAUGAGUUUUCCUCUGAGCACUGCUGUCAUUGUGUCCCAUAAGUUUGGUUAUGAUGUGUCAUCAUUUUCAUUGAGCUACAGAAAAACUUUAUUUCUUCCAUGACCAAGUUAUCAUUGAGUAGACAGUUGUUCAGUUUACAUAGGUAUGUGGGUUUUCUGUUGUUUCUGUUGCUAUUGAAGUCCAGCCUUCGUCUGUGGUGAUCUGAUAGGAUGCAUGGGAUUAUUUCAAUCUUCUUGUAUCUGUUGAAGUUUGUUUUUAUGACCAGUUAUAUGGUCUGUUUUGGAGAAUAUACCAUGAGGUGCUGAGAAAAAGUUAUAUUCUUUUGUUUUAGGUUGACAUGUUCUGUAACUACAUUCAAUUCAUUUGGUUCAUAACCUCUAUUAGUUUCACUGUGUCUCUCUCUGUUUAGCUUCUGUUUCAAUGACCUGUCUAUUGGUGAGAGUGGGGUUUUGAAGUCUUCUACUAUUAUUGUGUGGGGUUCAAUGUGUGUUUUGAGCUUUAGUAGUUUCUUUUAUGAAUGUGGGUGCCCUUGCAUUUGGGACAUAAAUGUUCAGAACUGAGACUUUCUCUUGGUGGAUUUUUCCUUUAAUGAAUAUCAUGUAUCCUUCCCCAUCUCUUUUGAUAUCUUUUGGUUGUAAAUCUAUUUUGUUGGAUAUUAGACUGGCAACUCCUAUUUGUUUCUUGGUACCAUUUGCUUGAAGACUUUUUUCCAGCCUUCUACUCUACAGUAGUGUUUGUCUUUAUCGUUGUGGUGUGUUUCAUGUUUGCAACAAAAUGCUGGAUUCUGUUUGCAUAUCCAGUCUGUUAGAUUAUAUCACCAAGGAAUCUUAUGAUAAGUUCAAUAAUAUUCUCUUAAAUACUUGAAUUUCAUUCGUAGGACAAAUAUUUUUAUGUCUGAUUUGUUUUGUUGUUUGGGUUAAUUCAAUAUAGCUUCUCAGGGAUUUUUUUUCAAACCAUUAAUAUUCAUUUGUAAGGUAGCUAUCAGAAUACAUUUGGAACCAUAAAAUGGAGUUUGCUUAUAGAAAAUCAUUUUUUUCUAUUUCUUGGUUAACUCUGUCAACUUGACAGGACAUAGAAAAUAUCUAAAAAGAGAGCCUAAAUUGAGAAUUGUAUUGGCCUGUGGGUAUGUCUGUAAGAGAUUUUCUUGCUUAUUAAUUGACAUUUGAGGACUCAGCCCAAUGUGGGUGGUACCAUUCACUAGGCCCAUGUUUCUGGACUGUAUUCCUACAAUACAAAUAGAUGAGCAUGAGCCUGACCCAUCAUGCCAGUAGUAUGGUUUUUGCUGUAAUAUCUUGGCUGUGAGUAAAUUCCCUAGUUAAAAGUCAAAGUGUAAGUACAUAAAUAUAUAAAUACAACCUACUGAGUCCAUAUUUUGGGGCAUAUCUGGUUGCAAGGCAGAACCCUUUGCAUGGAGUAACCACUAAGGGAGCUUAUCCUUGGUAGAGGUUAAUUAUUCUUCCGUCAGUUAUUAGUUGCCUGGGGUGUUUUGUCUAGGGGCAUAACUCCUGUGAAAUUUUCCACUUCCAUGUUAAUAUGUCCAUCGAUAUUGCCAUUGUUCCGGUUUUGUUUAUCCAACCAUUUUUAAAAGACCAUUUUUCAGUAGACUUCCUAGUAUUCUGGCUCUUAAAAUCUUUCCAUCCCUCUUCUGCAGUGUUCCCUGAGCCAUCGAUGCAGAAACUGUGUUAUAGAUUUUUUCAAUGUGUCUGCACUGCUCAUGAUGCAUUGAUCUCUGUAUCAUGUCAAGUUAUUGUUCUCUAUGAUGGUCUCCAUUUGCUGGAAAGAAAGGUCUCUUUGAUGAGGGAUGGUAACUACACUUAUCAAGGAAAGUGGUUAGGAAAAAAGAGGACUUGCAGGUCAUGGGUCUGCAACCAAUUUGUAAAUAUCCAGUACUUAGAGAAGUAAAGCAUCAGCAGAAGGCACUGUUUUUCUCUUUCCAUUCCAGGCUUGAACUUGAAAGAUUUGGCUUUUAGUCGUAUCUCAGGUAUUUAAAAGAUGUGAAUACUAUGUAAAGUAUUCUAAAAGUGGCAAAGGAUAUAGAAAUUAAUAAGGUAGGUUUUCCUUUCAUAUUUACAAUAUACUAACAAUGAUAAGACAAAUAUUAAAUACAUAUAAGAUAAAGAAAGGCAAGUGCCAGAAGUUACAAAGAUACAAAGUAUUUUCUAAGUGGGAGAGAUUUAUCAUGGGUAGUAGAUUCUCUACACUGCAACUAGAGACAGAGACAGAGAGAACUAUCAGCCUCUGUAGUUAAAGACAAAUCAAAUAGUUCACUGCCCUUUCAUUUAUCUGUUUACUUUCCCCUUCUGCUGUGCUAUAAUGUUCUCCAUGACUGGGUAUUUAUUACUUUGUGUAUCACAACUCACUUGUGUCUGGUUUAUAAAGUGUACUUGAUCAGUGGGUGUUGAUUGAUGUGUGCCAUCAUUGAUAAUCAAACUUUCUGUCUAAAACAUUUUUAUUCUAUUGCAAAUCAUGUUCAAAAAUAAUGCUAUGCAACUAAGUAAUGUACUAUUGUAAGAAACUAAGCAUUUUAGAAGGAUAGCUCUUAUUUGGUUAUACACAGGAUGUACCAUAGUAUCACAAAAAGAUCAAAGCUGAUGUCUGCAUAUCUGUAUGACUGAAUAGGAGAAAGAAGACACUAUUAUUUUUUCUAAUUAUACUAGUUACAACAAAAUUUUUUUAAGAUAUUUGAUUGACAAAGCUCAAACCUCAGUGAAAAUGGGUGAUUAAUAAAUUUACAUUUCAACUGUGAGUAAUAAGUCAAAUUUUUAAGCUUGAAACUACAAUAUUAAAUGGAAAAUAUUACUCAGAUAUAUUACUAAGAAAUUACUAACAUCUUUGAGGUUUACAUUUCUGUGAUUUUAUUUAUUGUAUAUUAGAUGAAAUGUUACAUAGUAUAAGAAGUUUUAUAUGUGUAAGAGGGCUCUUUUGAAUCAUAGGUUGGAAAUUAUUUCAGAUAAUACCUUUAUGUCAAUCUAGUGAGCAUAUGUGGAUCAGCGGCUGGAGUCAUGGUAAAAGUACAACAUUUAGUGAUACACAACAACCAGAAACUAUAGUAUUUUGAGGGGUGGAUAUAUAUAAUCAUUACAAAGUAGUUUUUAAAAAUAAGAGCUUAUUUAUUUCACAUAGACAUAUUAGAAGUCCAGAGAAAAGCAGUGCAGGGCUUAUCUAGCAACUCAAAUUUGUGGAUGUAAAGAGUCAUAAUUUAAAAAAUGGUUUAAAAAAUGAACACAGGAUAGAAGAUAGGAUAAAAGCUUCUUUUUGGAAGGAUUUCUUUUAAUCUUAGUAUUUGUAAUAAACUGUCUUCUCCCAGAGAUUUCUUCCAACAUCUUGCUGUCAGAGUUACAUCAAAGACCUCCCAGCCAAAAACUGGCUAAGACAAAAGGGAACUGUGUCCAGUUAGAAGACCAGUAGUGCUUGUUGUUUCUUUUCUCUGUUUAUUCAUGGUGCUACAAAGAUUUUGGGGUUCCAAUGGUAAAGCUAAGUUAUUCAUACAUUAAGAUGUAGUAAUCAAGAAGUCUGCGUUUGGGACUUGGGAGAUGGUUUUAUUCAUAAAUUUUCUUGCAAACAUAAAGACUUAACUUUGAUGCCAGGAACCUAUGUAUAAAAAACCUGGUCCCAGUGGUGCCUUUGUAAUCCCAGUGCUAGAGAAAUGGAGACAGGCAAAUCCCUGGAGCUUGCUAGUCAGUCAGCCCCAGCUUACUUAGUGAUCCUCAGGCUAAUGAAAGAGAAAAAGGGG
rnacentral:lncRNA from 1 species